UGUUUUCUCUUUGACCCACCCUUCAUAGUUCAUAAUUCUUGCAAUUAUCGUAGAUACAUAUCAACUCUUAAUUUACAUAAUGUUAAUAACUGGUAUAAUCCCCUAUUCCCACCCAUUGUUUUACACAUACAUCAUUAGAAAAUAGUAUUUAUUUAACAUUUAUUUUAGUGCAUUUAUUCAUGGCUAAACAAUAGUAGUAGUGAGUAAUGGUUUUAACUCAAUUCAACAUUUCUCUUAUUUAUGAAUCUCAAAGCAUGUACUUGUAUAUAUGCUGCAAACACAAGACAACUAAAAUCUCAGGCUAUGAGUCUUGAACUUUAAAAAAAAAAAAAUUUUUUUGUGAGAAAAAAAAUCCUCAUCAAACACUAAGCUACUAGCUGAUUCUCUAGCUGCUAGAGAAUCAGCUGAUUAUUAAAUAUCAUUGAUUUAUGGCAUUAAACAUGUCUGCUUAUUUAUGUCAAGUUUUUAUAAAUGUGUUGCAUUGUAUUGACCAGUAAUAUUGCCCUCUUCUCAAGUGACUAAUUUCAAUCUCUUUGUUAACAACUAAUUGAAUUAGUUUUGGAAAAUUUUGUUUUAACUAAUCUUGAAACAAAACCAAUGAUGUUUUCAUUGCACUUGCUACUCUCAUUCUUAUGGAAAUAAACAAUAUUCUUCU
rnacentral:misc_RNA from 1 species